rnacentral:rRNA from 1 species
GAUGAACGCUAGCGGCAGGCUUAAUACAUGCAAGUCGAGGGGUAGCAAGAUUGUAGCAAUACAAUUGUUGACGACCGGCAAACGGGUGCGGAACACGUACACAACCUUCCUACAAGUGGGGAAUAGCCCAGAGAAAUUUGGAUUAAUACCCCGUAACAUAGCGAUGUGGCAUCACAUUGCUAUUAUAGCUUCGGCGCUUGUUGCUGGGUGUGCGGCUGAUUAGAUAGUUGGCGGGGUGACGGCCCACCAAGUCUACGAUCAGUAGCUGAUGUGAGAGCAUGAUCAGCCACACGGGCACUGAGACACGGGCCCGACUCCUACGGGAGGCAGCAGUAAGGAAUAUUGGACAAUGGACGCAAGUCUGAUCCAGCCAUGCCGCGUGAAGGAUUAAGGUCCUCUGGAUUGUAAACUUCUUUUAUAAGGGACGAAAAAAGGUCUUUCUAGAUCGUCUGACGGUACCUUAUGAAUAAGCACCGGCUAACUCCGUGCCAGCCGCCGCCGUAACAC